GUAGUCUGCAACCCGACUACAUGAAGCUGGAAUCGCUAGUAAUCGCGAAUCAGAAUGUCGCGGUGAAUACGUUCCCGGGUCUUGUACACACCGCCCGUCACACCAUGGGAGUCGGAUAUGCCCGAAGCCGGUGACCUAACCGCAAGGAAGGAGCCGUCGAAGGUGGAGCCGAUGACUGGGGUGAAGUCGUAACAAGGUAAC
rnacentral:rRNA from 1 species